UACGAAGGGGGCUAGCGUUGUUCGGAAUCACUGGGCGUAAAGGGCGCGUAGGCGGCCGAUCAAGUCGGGGGUGAAAGCCUGUGGCUCAACCACAGAAUUGCCUUCGAUACUGUUUGGCUAAGACCGGAAGAGGUAAGUGGAACUGCGAAGUGUAGAGGUGAAAUUCGUAGAUAUUCGCAAGAACACCGGGUGGCGAAGGCGGCCACCUGGACGGUCACUGACGCUGAGACGCGAAAGCGUGGGUAGCAAACAGG
rnacentral:rRNA from 1 species